rnacentral:ncRNA from 2 species
AUACGCUAUGCGGGAGAGACAUCAGAUGUUGUGAUGUCACCGAAGGAGCAAGCCUCCCCGCCAAUCUCUCAGGUCACCCGUACCGCUUAGCGAGG